GAAAGCCCCCGGCUCAACCGGGGAGGGUCAUUGAAAACUGGGAGACUUGAGUGCAGAAGAGGAGAGUGGAAUUCCAUGUGUAGCGGUGAAAAUGCGUAGAUAUAUGGAGGGAACACCAGUGGCGAAGGCGGCUCUAUGGUCUGUAACUGACGCUGAGGCUCGAAAAGCGUGGGGAGCAAACAGGAUUAGAUACCUUGGUAGUCCACGCCGUAAACGAUGAGUGCUAAGUGUUGGAGGGUUUUCCGCCCUUCAGUGCUGCAGCAAACGCAUUAAGCACUCCGCCUGGGGAGUACGACCGCAAGGUUGAAACUCAAAGGAAUUGACGGGGGCCCGCACAAGCGGUGGAGCAUGUGGUUUAAUUCGAAGCAACGCGAAGAACCUUACCAGGUCUUGACAUCCUUUGACCACUCUAGAGAUAGAGCUUUCCCUUCGGGGACAAAGUGACAGGUGGUGCAUGGUUGUCGUCAGCUCGUGUCGUGAGAUGUUGGGUUAAGUCCCGCAACGAGCGCAACCCUUAUUGUUAGUUGCCAUCAUUUAGUUGGGCACUCUAGCGAGACUGCCGGUGACAAACCGGAGGAAGGUGGGGAUGACGUCAAAUCAUCAUGCCCCUUAUGACCUGGGCUACACACGUGCUACAAUGGGAAGUACAACGAGUCGCUAGACCGCGAGGUCAUGCAAAUCUCUUAAAGCUUCUCUCAGUUCGGAUUGCAGGCUGCAACUCGCCUGCAUGAAGCCGGAAUCGCUAGUAAUCGCGGAUCAGCACGCCGCGGUGAAUACGUUCCCGGGCCUUGUACACACCGCCCGUCACACCACGAGAGUUUGUAACACCCGAAGUCGGUGAGGUAACCUUU
rnacentral:rRNA from 1 species